UCUCCUUGAUGAGCUCGCCCGAGGCCUCCUCUGGGAAGAACGUUGCGGUCCCUCUGCAUCGCCCAUCGGCGUGCUCCCCAGAACGUCCCGUUUCCCUUGGACUGGGGCGCCCGGCACCGGACCCAGGCCUCCAGGGGCAGGACCCCCCCCCCCCCCCCCCCCCCGCAAUGCUCUGCCUAAGGCAGCCCAGGACACCCCGAGUCUUCUUUGCAGCGCACGGUCACCUUGGUGUCCACCAGCACCCCAGGGCCUUUUCCACUCGUGCUUCUGCUGAUGGCUUCACCGAGAUGUGCUGCAGGCUGGUGCUGGCCCGGCUCAGCUCAGCGAGGGCUCCGGGUGGGGUGUCCUGGCCCUUGGAUUUCAGGCUGAGGGCAGGAUUCUGCUCGGCAACCGAAGGUGCACUUUCAGAGACCCUGGGGAGGGCAGAGCGGCACAACAUCCAAAGAAGAGCUCCUGUACAGCUACCAUGCUCCCUGUGAAGACAGCCCUUCUCCUCACGCUGCUCCUCAUCCUCUCCCAGCAUUGCACAGGAGGCUCCUCGCCUGCUCCCAACAGGCUGCACAGUGCUGCAGAAGUCAGGAAAGGAAGAUUUCUGUGGCAGGACAUCAGGCAGGUGGUACUGAGCACCUGUCCUGGUUUCAGCUGGGAUAGAGUUAAUUUUCUUCCUAGUAGCUGAGAGCAUCAUGAAAUGUUGCCGUGGAGCUGGAAGGCACUCUGGUAGGAGAGGAGCUCUGCAGCAUCAGCAGUAGGCAAGAUAUUAACCUGCAGUUCCAUCAGCACCACAGUUGGCAAGACUGGGAAGGCACUGCCCACUGGAGAAGGUCUUGCUGAGCCAAGGUCCUGCGGAGAUGCAUGCAGGUCCAUGAGAGAGGAGGAGGUUGUGCAUGGAAAGGGAAGGGCUCAUGGUUUUUGCUGUCACUGACUUGUUCUUACUGAGCUCUGUUAACUCUCUUCCUGUUUCCACCCCCCUCCUAAUUGGAAUGUAGAAAAUUAUCCUAAUUGAGCAGAGACUCCAACUUGCUAAGGGCAAUCUAGGUAAGGCUUGUACUUAUGUGCAGUACUCAUGGAGCAGGAUGGCUCCUGUCCAUCUUCUACACCAGAGACUUUGGAAGAUGACCGCAGGCAUUGCCCACUCCAUGAUCCUUGGUGCCAACAUCUCCAAGAUGGGAGGAGAGUGUGAAGGAGUUCACUUUGUGUCCAAUCAGUUUCAUCAGUGCUAGCGAACAUGAGAACUAGAAUAGAAAUAAAAGGGAAGGAAGCAACAAAUAGGCGUCAUUGUGCAGUCAUGAGGCAAGAGGAAGACUCGAGUGCAGAGAGGAACUGAACAUCAGAAAGAGCAUGGGAAGAGAUGAAGAAGUCCAGAGGGGAGAGCAAGAGAGACAAACGGCCUCUCGCGUGUCAUUCUUGUGGCUCUUGUACCACAAGAAUUUUGUUUUAUGACCCUCUUGUCAGCAAAUAUCCUGCUGAUAUUGCUGUUUCCCCAUGUGGGUUGGUUCCCAGAUGAGAGCUCAGCUGUGCUUCAGCCACGAGGUUCCACUGGCUGGUGGAGAAGAGUUCCAGCGAACAUCCUUUAGCCCAGGAGAUGUGCACAGCUGGGCUGUGCGUGCCCAGCACAGGGGGUCCGAGGGAGACCUGGGGUGCGGAGAGGUGCAGCCAAAGCCAAGUGUCUAAGACUCUGCCCUCUCCCUGGCAAAGAUGUCCACGGGGCUUUGGGAGCACACCUGCUAUAUGCAGAGGUGCAGGAUCAGCCCAGGGACAUGCCAGCAUUCCCAAAUUCUCAUCGCCACUUGGUUUCUGCAACCCUCCUUCAGUCUUUGACCUGGGAGCAUCCCUGCAGGACAGGCUUUGCUGUCCUCUUCUGCUCCCUGUGCUGUGGUGAAGGUGGUGUUGGGACCAUGCUCACUGGUGAUAGAAGAUGGUCCCAGUAGAAUACUGCUCCCCAGACUCUGUUUUGGGGAGGGCUGUGGUGGUGGGCCCUCAUCCUGCAUGCUCAGUUUGGGCUCCAUCAUCUUGGGAAACAGGGAGAAAACAGGAAUGGGAGGAAGGGGGCAGAGAAAA